rnacentral:tRNA from 1 species
AAAAAUUUAGUUAAAAAUAUAACAUUAGUUUGUCAAACUAAAAUUAUUAUAAUAUUGAUAAUUUUUG